AUUGAACGCUGGCGGCAUGCCUUACACAUGCAAGUCGAACGGUAACGGGCCUUCCGUUGCCGACGGGUGGCGGCCGGGGGCGUAAUACUUCCGAACGGACCCGAUCGCGGGGGAUAACGGGUCGCAACCUUUACUCGUACCUCAUACGAGCUACGGAUGAGAGCCGGAGAGCUCAAUGCCUUGCGCGGGCUUUGCGGCCGCUGGCAGAUUAGUUAGUUGGCGGGAUAAAAGCUUACCAAGCCGACGAUCUGUAGCUGAUCUGAGAGGAUGAUCAGCCACACUGGAACUGAGACACGGUCCAGACUCCUACGGGAGGCAGCAGUGGGGAAUUUUGCGCAAUGGGCGCAAGCCUGACCCAGCCAUGCCGCGUGCAGGAUGAAGGCCUUCGGAUUGUAAACUGCUGUUAUACGGAACGAAAAGCCUUCUUUUAAAAUAGGAGCGUCAUGACGGUACCGUAAGAAUAAGCACCGGCUAACUACGUG
rnacentral:rRNA from 1 species